GAUGAACGCUGGCGGCGUGCCUAAUACAUGCAAGUCGAGCGAACGGACGAGAAGCUUGCUUUUCUGAUGUUAGCGGCGGACGGGUGAGUAACACGUGGAUAACCUACCUAUAAGACUGGGAUAACUUCGGGAAACCGGAGCUAAUACCGGAUAAUAUUUUGAACCGCAUGGUUCAAAAGUGAAAGACGGUCUUGCUGUCACUUAUAGAUGGAUCCGCGCUGCAUUAGCUAGUUGGUAAGGUAACGGCUUACCAAGGCAACGAUGCAUAGCCGACCUGAGAGGGUGAUCGGCCACACUGGAACUGAGACACGGUCCAGACUCCUACGGGAGGCAGCAGUAGGGAAUCUUCCGCAAUGGGCGAAAGCCUGACGGAGCAACGCCGCGUGAGUGAUGAAGGUCUUCGGAUCGUAAAACUCUGUAUUAGGGAAGAACAUAUGUGUAAGUAACUGUGCACAUCUUGACGGUACCUAAUCAGAAAGCCACGGCUAACUACGUG
rnacentral:rRNA from 1 species